GCCUGGGUGGCUCAGUCGGUUGAGCGUCCGACUUCAGCUCAGGUCAUGAUCUCACAGUCUGUGAGUUCGAGCCCCGCAUCGGGCU
rnacentral:tRNA from 1 species